ACGGCCAUAUCACGUUGAAACAGCGGUUCUUGUACAAUCACCGAAGUUAAGCAACGUUGUGCCUGGUCAUUACCUAGACGGCUAACCUCUUGAGAAUACCAGGUGCUGUAGU